UCUUUUUUAUUCUCUCUCCCAAAGUCCAGUCACUUCAGUCUUAAGGGUCUCCAAACUUUGACAAAAGGCUCAACUUUGAUUAAAACUUCUCUAGAACAUCACUCACCUGCUGUAGAUGAUGAGCAGCAGGUCUUGCAGUUCCCUUCCUUAAUUAAAAAAAAAAAUGAGUAAGGUGGUCACACCAAAAAGAGUCACUGAAUUAGGCCAGAACUGGGCUUUGGGAACAGAAUUUGAAGCCAUGGAACCAGUGAUCUUACCUGCCUAAUUUUAUGCUUAUACACAAGGUAGCUGAUUUGCAAAGACGUCUUAGCCUGGUCCGGGCUGAGUCCCAGGCUGUGUUAGCCUGGUGCUCUUGCCAGAAGACUCUGAAUACAUUUGAGAGUCACAAUUCCCUAUCUCAGCUACCCUGCUCAUACUUAGUGUGUCCAUUUGUUUGGUUUUGGCCUGUCUCUCCCUCUGGCAAAUAAACUCUAUGAGGUCCAGGAUCACAUCUGUUUUGUUCUUCAUUGUGCCCCCAGUGUCUGGCACCAUACUUGGCACGUAAUCAUGCUCUGCAAAUAUGUGGUAAAUAAGUGAUUGAACAAGGGACUUACUUAUUCUUCAAGAUCAAGAAGAACGUUAAUUCCUAGGUAGAGUCUCCCCUCCCUUUCUCAGGCGGCGAUUGGUUCUUGCCUCUAAGCCUCCACAAUAUUGUACAUUCUACUAUCACAGAGCAAGGGAUCAAACAUUUUCUGAGGGUCUAUCAUAGGUACUGUGGCAGCUGUUAUUAUAUAUGCUUCUCCUUUCAUUCUUUCAAGAAGUCUAGGAGAUAGUAUUGUUUUCCAGAUUUACAGAUGAAGAAACAGGCUCAAAAAAUCCAAGUCACACAAUCCAUAAUAGGUGGCAAAGCCUGUAUCCAAAGCUGAAGUCACUGCUACCAAGGGGCUGUCAGUUAGUCAAUAAGGAAGGAAACUGCAAGACCUGCUGCUCAUCAUCCACACCAGUUGAGUGACCUUUAAUCACUUUUAACCAGUUGAGAGAAAUUUUAAUCAAAGUUGAGCCUUCUGUCAAACUAUGGAGACCUUUAAGACCAAAGUUACUAGACUUUAGGAGGAAGAAUUAAAAAGAGAAGAGAAAGGAGAGUAAGAAAGAAGUGCACAUUGCCUUUUGAAGCUCCUCAGUCAUUGACCUUUGCAGGGAAGUCUGAAGGGUGCUUGGGCAGAGCCAAAUGGGAGGCUGCUGUAGCUCUAACAUCUGUGCUUGCAGGGAAAGGGGCUGGGAGGUCUGGAUCUGGAACUCUUCAUUUUACUAUACAUUGAAUUCCUUCCCUCUCCCCAAAUGAAAGCUAUGGUCAUUUAUUAUCUACAAGCAGAAGUCCAAAUUCUUACACAUUUUCUUCAGAAUAACUCAUAAAUAGAGAAACAAUCCUUGGAGCUUUCCGAAAAGAAACACUGAAUGCACUCUCCAAAACGUCAGUUAGAAAUAAAACAGAAUCUAAAUGUCCCACCUUGCAGAGUCCAAGCAAUUCCUAAUUUUAGAAAGAGGUGUCACCCAACCUGCUGUAUAAGGCUGUGCUAAGAGCCUCGGCUUUUAGGGAAGUUCCCUGCUCUUCCCUAGAACAGGGCUGUUUCAUUUCACGUUUAUAUGCCUCUCUAUUAACACCUUCCUCGCAUCUCCGGAGAAAAUAAGCAUCCUUCUUGGUCUAAAGGUGCCCUUAAAAACAUGACCGUAUACAAUAUGAAAAGCUAAAAACAAAACCAAAACAGAAUGAAGACACACAGGCACACAAGUACAUAAAUUAACGUUAGAGAUAUUGACAGACAAAUAAAAUGUGUACAGUAUUUGCUCUAGCUGUUCAAAUAAACAGUAUGAAAAUAGCUUUUUGCUCAUGAAAUUGAGUCUGAAAAUUGAGGCAGUGUGUGCAUAGUAGCAAAAGUGCUCUGUUUUACUUGAGUUUGAACUCAGAUUCCCCCAUUUAGUAGCUUCUAUGAACCUGGGGAAAAUAAUGAUAAUUUUAGCUAAUAUUUAUUGAGAAAUUGUUACACAUCAGGCACUAAGAUAGUAACCUCACGUAUUACAUAACUUUUCUGAGUCAUUUUCCUUUUAUGUAGAGUCAUGAUGAUAAUAUAUCCCUUAUAUGUUUUUGUGAAUAUAGAAAAGCAUGUAAAACACCUAGAGAUGA